ensembl:piRNA 21ur-7156 ncRNA
UCUUAGCAAUAUGAAAAAACA